ACUGAUGUCAUCAUAAGUGGACCUCUGAACAGCACAAAACACAAAGCAACCACUGGGGAGUAUGUGAUUAACUGGACACCAACUCCAGAGAACUAUGGCCAACAUUUUCCAUUUUGCUUUAUUGCAGAAGGAGAAGAUGGGUCAAACAUUUACCAGUCUGAAAUGAGGUGUGUCAUUGUAGAGGUGAAUAAAAUUGGACCGACUACAACCACAGUUGCACCGACUUUGCCAGGACCCAAGGCACAUGUAACCUGCUUAGAAAACUCAAUGUCAGUGUCAGUUGAGAAGUCUACAAUCAAAAACAUCAAUAACAAACACUUGAGGCUGAUAGAUCCGCUUUGCCAGCCUAACUCCAAUGAGACCCAUGUGUUUAUCAACAUACCUUUAAAUGGUUGUGGGACUGAAA